rnacentral:lncRNA from 1 species
UUCAUUUCAAUUCAUUGACUGCAACAUCAAGAGCAAAAGAAACUCAAACUCUUAUUUCUUUCUUCUCCACCGAAACUCACUCUCUCCACUAUAUCAUUCCCAAAUUCUUAGCCAAAUCCACAUGCAACCUCACUCUAAUGGUAGUAGAACCUUAAGGAAUCAAGUAUGAAAGAAACAACUCCUCCCCUUCCUCUCAAAAGGGCGUGAAUCCCCAUCUCACAACCAAAGGGGCAAUCUCUAAUUUCACAUGAUUUGGUCAUGCAUGUGUUAAAUUAAUAGCAUCUUCUGAGUUGAUCAAGGAUUAAGGGAUUUAAGGACCAUAAUAACAGUGAGUAAGUGGAAGAUGGAAAAGCNNNNNNNNNNNNNNNNNNNNNAGGGAGGCAGUAGAAUCAUGGAGAUUUGGAGAACUAGAUUGGUGAAAUAGGAAUUGGGAAUUGGAAGAAGUAUGUGAAACCCAUAUUCUGGACAGGGUUUCACUAAAAUGGUCAGUACUCUCUCCUCGUAACUCUGAUUUAAAUUCCGUUUGUUUCUAGUUAGCUAACGAAAUUCCAGUCGUUUAGAUGCCAAUUUCGUGAACUGGGGAGCUUUAACGAAUUCAGGAGACGCGUCUGAAGUCCAGGGUCAGAUGCAGAAUUUUGGAUUGAAUUAGCAUCGUUGUCAUCUUAUGAGUUAUUGGAAAUUCAAAUGGAGCCUUAAAGGUUGAUUUUGGAGUACAAGACAGUAGUUGCUCUUUCUUGGAUUUCAGGUGGGUUUAUCUUUAAGUAGAAACAUGGCAACCAUAAGUCCAAAGCAUAGUGUUUUAUUUCAUCAUUUAUGUUUAUGGCAUGAUUAGUAACCUAGACAACUCAUAAAUUGAUUAAUGAUGAAAUUGGACUUAAUUCGCAUUGCAUGUGACUGUAAUUAGUUGUAUCCAUCAUGAUUAGAAUGUUAGAAAUAGUUAGAGACUGUUUAGAAUUGUGAUUCUGCAGGUUUAC